CCUACUGGGGGCAGCAGUGAGGAAUAUUGGUCAAUGGGCGCGAGCCUGAACCAGCCAAGUAGCGUGCAGGAUGACUGCCCUACGGGUUGUAAACUUCUUUUAUAAAGGAAUAAAGUGAGGCACGUGUGCCUUUUUGUAUGUACUUUAUGAAUAAGGAUCGGCUAACUCCGUUCCAGCAGCCGCGGUAAUACGGAGGAUCCGAGCGUUAUCCGGAUUUAUUGGGUUUAAAGGGAGCGUAGAUGGGUUGUUAAGUCAGUUGUGAAAUUUUGCGGCUCAACCGUAAAAUUGCAAUUGAUACUGGCAGACUUGAGUACAGUUGAGGUAGGCGGAAUUCGUGGGGUAGCGGUGAAAUGCUUAGAUAUCACGAAGAACUCCGAUUGCGAAGGCAGCUUACUAAACUGCCACUGACAUUGAUGCUCGAAAGUGUGGGUAUCAAACAGGAUUAGAGACCCCUGUAGUC
rnacentral:rRNA from 1 species